CGGAUCCUUCGGGAUUAGUGGCAGACGGGUGAGUAACGCGUGGGAAGCUACCUUGUGGUAGGGGACAACAGUUUGAAAAGACUGCUAAUACCCUAUGAGCCCUAUGGGGGAAAGAUUUAUCGCCAUGAGAUGUGCCCGCGUUAGAUUAGCUAGUUGGUAAGGUAAUGGCUUACCAAGGCGACGAUCUAUAGCUGGUCUGAGAGGAUGAUCAGCCACACUGGGACUGAAACACGGCCCAGACUCCUACGGGAGGCAGCAGUGGGGAAUAUUGGACAAUGGGGGCAACCCUGAUCCAGCCAUGCCGCGUGUGUGAUGACGGCCUUAGGGUUGUAAAGCACUUUCAGCAGUGAAGAUAAUGACAUUAACUGCAGAAGAAGCCCCGGCUAACUUCGUGCCAGCAGCCGCGGUAAUACGAAGGGGGCUAGCGUUGUUCGGAAUCACUGGGCGUAAAGAGUACGUAGGCGGACUGAUAAGUUAGGGGUGAAAUCCCAAGGCUCAACCUUGGAACUGCCUUUGAUACUGUCAGUCUUGAGAUCGAGAGAGGUGAGUGGAACUCCGAGUGUAGAGGUGAAAUUCGUAGAU
rnacentral:rRNA from 1 species